GGCAUCAUACUGACACUGAGGCUCGAAAGCGUGGGUAGCAAACAGGAUUAGAUACCCUGGUAGUCCACGCCGUAAACGAUGUCUACUAGUCGUUGGGGAACUUGAUUCCUUAGUGACGCAGCUAACGCAAUAAGUAGACCGCCUGGGGAGUACGGCCGCAAGGUUAAAACUCAAAUGAAUUGACGGGGGCCCGCACNAGCGGUGGAGCAUGUGGUUUAAUUCGAUGCAACGCGAAGAACCUUACCUGGUCUUGACAUAUCUAGAAUCCUGCAGAGAUGCGGGAGUGCCUUCGGGAAUUAGAAUACAGGUGCUGCAUGGCUGUCGUCAGCUCGUGUCGUGAGAUGUUGGGUUAAGUCCCGCAACGAGCGCAACCCUUGUCCUUAGUUACCAGCGGGUUAAGCCGGGAACUCUAAGGAUACUGCCAGUGACAAACUGGAGGAAGGCGGGGACGACGUCAAGUCAUCAUGGCCCUUACGACCAGGGCUACACACGUGCUACAAUGGUAGGUACAGAGGGCAGCUACACAGCGAUGUGAUGCGAAUCUCAAAAAGCCUAUCGUAGUCCAGAUUGGAGUCUGCAACUCGACUCCAUGAAGUAGGAAUCGCUAGUAAUCGCGGAUCAGAAUGCCGCGGUGAAUACGUUCCCGGGCCUUGUACACACCGCCCGUCACACCAUGGGAGUUGAUUGCACCAGAAGUGGUUAGCCGA
rnacentral:rRNA from 1 species